rnacentral:rRNA from 1 species
CCUACGGGAGGCAGCAGUAAGGAAUAUUGGUCAAUGGACGAAAGUCUGAACCAGCCAUGCCGCGUGAAGGAUGAAGGCCCUCUGGGUUGUAAACUUCUUUUAUCUGGGACGAAAAAAGGGGAUUCUUCCUCACUUGACGGUACCAGAGGAAUAAGCACCGGCUAACUCCGUGCCAGCAGCCGCGGUAAUACGGAGGGUGCAAGCGUUAUCCGGAUUUACUGGGUUUAAAGGGUGCGUAGGUGGGUAAGUAAGUCAGUGGUGAAAUCUUCGAGCUUAACUCGGAAACUGCCAUUGAUACUAUUUAUCUUGAAUACUUUGGAGGUAAGCGGAAUAUGUCAUGUAGCGGUGAAAUGCUUAGAUAUGACAUAGAACACCAAUUGCGAAGGCAGCUUACUACACAGUCAUUGACACUGAGGCACGAAAGCGUGGGGAUCAAACAGGAUUAGAUACCCUGGUAGUCCACGCCCUAAACGAUGGAUACUCGACAUCAGCGAUACACUGUUGGUGUCUGAGCGAAAGCAUUAAGUAUCCCACCUGGAAGUACGAUCGCAAGAUUGAAACCUAAAGGAAUUGACG